UGUGUGUGCAGUGCAGUGAAACAGAGGUUUUUGUACGGCAGUUUCAUUAGAAUGUAUCACUGUGGUACACUUUUGGAGGAGGCUCCAGACUUCUCAUGAACAAGGCUCCCUCCGUGUCUCUCCUCCCUCCAUCCGGUUUACAGCUCUGUGAGGGAUCAGCCUCGCUGCUCUGCCUGCUGUCUGACUACUCUCCACAGGGGGCGCUGGUGAGCUGGACAGUGGAUGGCUCAGAGGUGAAGAAUGGGGUUCUGACCAGCACAGAAGAAGAUAAGAAUGGCCGUUACAGCCGGAGCAGCACCCUAACCCUCAGCAAAGACCUCUGGGAAAAGGGGGAGAAGUUUCUCUGUACUGUCUCACAUAACAAAAUCAAUUAUCCAGUUACGUUCAUAAAGAGUCAGUGUGAAGGCUAGUGGAUACUCAGAGUUUAACUCAGAGCUGCUUAUGAUCAUCUACAGUCGAGUUUCAGUUCUACACAAUGAUAAGAUUUCUGUCUUUACUCUCUUUACUGUCCCGCUUCUCUUCCUGUAGUUUCUGCUGAAAUAAAGCUGAGUUUUGGA